AAAAAAACAAAAAAACGAAAAGAGCGCGUGCUUGGCUUUGGUCGGCGCCCAAGGUGUGCUGACACUGGAAAAACUGGAGUGAUCGGAAAGAAUGAAACGAGCUGCGUGGUCUUGGACUGCUUCUAUUGCAUUGGUGAGAAAUGAAAGUUUCCAGGAGGACACAAUGCCAUUAGAUCAACGUGGUCGUAAACUUGCUUCAGAGGAGGGUCUCCUUGAGCGCAUCCCUUCCAAGAAGGCACACUCACUGCAACCAGAGACAAUGUCAUCAUCAUCAGCUACCUUCCUGCUUUUGGGUGACAAACUGUUUUCAAAAGGUAUGAAAAUAUUAUCUGCAUUGUUAGAUUAAAAAAAAAUCCUUGUUUUGUUAAUUAACUUUUUCCUGACCACGAAAUAAGUAGCAAUUUUCAAAGGAUCUGGGCAAACACUUUUAUUUUCCUGACUUGCUUAUGAAUAGGGUUUGGCAUUUUCGGUUUUUUUUUUUUUUUUUAAUGCUGCAUACUUUUUUUUGUUUUUGUUUUGAAAGCACAUUUUCA